rnacentral:rRNA from 1 species
GUACCUGCGGAGGGAUCAUUACCGAGUUUACAACUCCGCAAUACCCAAUGUGAACAGUUACCAAACAGAUUGUUGC